rnacentral:lncRNA from 1 species
AUUCGUUCAUAUUCAUAGUGGUGGUAGAGGGAAACUCGAUCCUAGAAGCUUAAAAUGUUUCUUUAUAGGAUAUUAUUCCACUUAAAAGGUUACAAUGUUAUUAUUAUGGGUCGGUCAAAGACCCAAUACGGGAAAAAUCCAAACAUACAUCCCAACCAUGAAAAGUCCAAUCCAAAUUAUCCAAUGUAUAUAAUUAAUACACAUGAGACUUAAUAUGCACCUUUCUUAUCUUACAAUUUCACUUCACUCAUAUUGGACUCUAUAACUGAAUUGGUGUUGGAGUGUUAGCCUUGCAGACCCACUCCCGCACCAGAGUAUCAGAGAUCAACGACAUCACACUUGGAUUCCAUUAUCAUCAAUCAAACAUAAUUAUGGUUCAAUCACAGAACAGUGACAUCGUCUGUGGCAACCAACUUCUGAAUCCUACUAAAUUCCAUGAUCGAAUCUUAUUUAUUCCAGAGCUUGAUCACAAUGGAACCACAAUUGGAAAAAUAAAUUUGUCCCCUGCCACAUGUUAUAGAGAUCUUCAUCCAAACCUCUCAGUCCAACCAUCAAUUCCAAUUAUAGUGACUAAGGAAACCAAGAGAGAAUCAUUGCAACAGUAACGAUCUCCUACCACCAGAUCUCACCCUAUCUGAAGAUAAAUUGUAAGAACCUGUGAACCGAUAAGAUCACCACACAAUGUGUAAGCCUUCAAAUAA